rnacentral:lncRNA from 1 species
CCCCAACGCGCUGCCCAUUCCACAGGUUAAGCAGAUAGAUAAUGUAUCGUUAGAGCCCCUCUGAACCACAGAUCCAUAUAUUCCUGAAGUCUCUCUCUAGCUCCAGAAUGGCUUAAUCGAUUUCUGUAAUUUUUUAUUAAAGAAAGAUUUCAUCCGGGCAGUGAGAUGGAUAUUUCCUCUGGGAUCACAGCUUAUGUGCCGAGCCGAGAGCCAACCUGAUCUGAAACAGCCCCGUUACAAACCCUCUGAAAAAUAGAAUACCUCCAUCACUAUGACAGAUAUGCCACUAUAAUUAACAUCUUUGGUAACAGACAUUACGCAGCCAAAAUUUUCUAUUUCCAGCUGCAGCACCGACCACAUCCCAGCACCACUACAAAGCAGCCGCACCUCUCCGGCCUCCACAGAGCACCGCGCCGCCAAGCCUCGCUCACUGCCAGUCUGGGAAGCAGCCGCUGGGCACCGACCCCCCGCUGCACGCUGUGCCCCCACACCCCAGGGUCACCCCAGGGCCGCCCGUCGCUCUGCCCCGCUCCCAGGAGCUCACUGAUGAUAUCCAUUACCGGCAGCUAUGAAAGAUUCAGGCAGCGCUGCAUUUCCGAUGAGGAGCUCCAUCAGCACUGCGCUCCCGGGAGGUGACGGGAGGUGAUGGGCGCAGUGCAGAGCGCUCCUCCAUCAGAAGGAAACGCAUCAGAUGGCGAGCGAGCCAUUCCCACCCGCACCGCCUCGGCCAGGGUGCCCAGCCCCAUCCCAGAGCAGGGAGCGCCCCGUUGCAGAGCAGCGCAGCGGUCCCGGGGCCUCAGAUGUAGAAGUGCCCCUUCGGCCCCACAGCGCAGCUCCGGCUGUCAGCCUGCACAGCUGCUGCCCAGGCGCUAAGGCCGAUCCUGCCCGGCUUCCCCCGCUGCCCCUCUGCAGGAGUCACACGCGGUGGCACAGAGCAGCUCCGCUCCGCACGGCACCCGAUGCGCUGCUGCCAAAGACGGCACUGCUGCCAGUGAAGAACCAACUCCAAAGCUUUUUGUAGCUCAGCAAUGAUGCUUUUCUGGCUACAGCCAAGCAGCUGAUGGCAGAGGAGCAGCCCAGUUACUCCAGAACAGCACCAGCUCCUGACCCCAGCAUUAAUGGGGCAUCGUCCGUUCCCAGCAGAGCUGAGAG